UACGUAGGGUGCAAGCGUUGUCCGGAAUUAUUGGGCGUAAAGAGCUCGUAGGCGGUCUGUCGCGUCGGCUGUGAAAACUCGGGGCUCAACCCCGAGCCUGCAGUCGAUACUGUGCGACUAGAGUGCGGAAGGGGCAACUGGAAUUCUCGGUGUAGCGGUGAAAUGCGUAGAUAUCGAGAGGAACACCUGCGGCGAAGGCGGGUUGCUGGGCCGACACUGACGCUGAUGCGCGAAAGCCAGGGGAGCGAACGGG
rnacentral:rRNA from 1 species